rnacentral:rRNA from 1 species
UACGAAGGGGGCUAGCGUUGCUCGGAAUCACUGGGCGUAAAGGGUGCGUAGGCGGGUCUUUUAAGUCAGGGGUGAAAUCCUGGAGCUCAACUCCAGAACUGCCUUUGAUACUGAGGAUCUUGAGUUCGGGAGAGGUGGAGUGGAACUGCGAGUGUAGAGGUGAAAUUCGUAGAUAUUCGCAAGAACACCAGUGGCGAAGGCG